UUGAGCAUAUACAAAAUUUGAGUUGAAAGUCUAAUUAUUACACGUGAAAAUCAGUCCCAAAAUGUCUAAUUAUUACAAAAUAGAUCAGUCUAAUACUAUACUAUAACACGAUGAUCAUUUUACUAGCAUUCCUAUAUUCAAACUAAGUAGGGAAGAUGGGAGAUAUGAUACUAGAGUACAAAUAGCAAGUGAAGGUCUUCAUAUCAAGAAUAUAUUUUCACUUUGAACUUCAUAUACAUGAGUGUUGAGUCGAUACCU
rnacentral:lncRNA from 1 species